rnacentral:lncRNA from 1 species
GCUAUCUGUGCCUUACCAGUCUCACCAACAAUAAGCCUGGUGACUGACAAUCGAGAGGGGGCUCUGUCCACGUAGGUGCCGGCACAAGCUGAGGACAUGAGUGGGACAGAGGAACCAGCCUUGCACGGAGGAAGCACCUUUUCCUUCUGGUGAUUGAUUGAUGGGGGACAGUGAGGAGGUUUUCAGAGACUGGAAAAAAUUGUCCCAGUCACUUACUAUGAAGUCUUUGUCAGCAGAAAAGACUCUCCGGGGUAGAGAAUGAUAUAAUGCAGAUGACAAAUGACAGGUGUGUGUUUCGUUCUGCUUGCUAGGUACUCAGUAUCACACGCAGGACCCUAUCUGCAGAUGUUCUGAAUACCUCUGAGAAUAGAGAUUGAUUAUUCAACCAGGAUACCUAAUUCAAGGUAUUAGCUCUCGUCAGAAAGCUUUUACAUUUGAGCUCUGUGUUGGAAAUUCUAUUUUGGCAAUGAAUUGAAAUAGGAAAAGUUGGAAUGAGAAUAAAGGACAAAAGUGAAUUUGCAAAAUAAUCAAGUGCUUAAAAAACUACCCAGCACUUGUGAGGGUUUGCUAUUUCUGACUCAUGUGCAACCCUGUCUCUGCCAGCUUAUGUGCCAAUACUGACUUAUUUGUAGCCCUUUCUCUGCAACUGUGCUUGGAGUUUGGAUUUCAU